rnacentral:rRNA from 2 species
UACAGAGGUGGCAAGCGUUGUUCGGAAUUACUGGGCGUAAAGGGCGCGUAGGCGGUCUUUUAAGUUCCGUGUGAAAUCCCUCGGCUCAACUGGGGAACGGCACGGGAAACUGGGAGGCUUGAGUUCGGGAGAGGGAAGCGGAAUUCCGGGUGUAGCGGUGAAAUGCGUAGAUAUCCGGAGGAACACCGGUGGCGAAGGCGGCUUCCUGGACCGACACUGACGCUGAGGCGCGAAAGCUAGGGGAGCAAACGGG